rnacentral:lncRNA from 1 species
CAAAUACACAAGGAUGCACUCACCUGUCCCAGGUGAUCGCUGCUGUCUCCCACGGGUGAAAUUGCUGGGGCUUUUCAACACAUGUGUUGCUGGCUCGUUCACCAAGACAAAACCUCACACGUUAUUGGUGCCAUCAGCUACAAGCAAGCUCUGGACACUGCCUGCAAUGCACUGUGUGCCAAUUGCACAGCUGAUCUGCUGCAAUACCCUGUCCUGUUCCCAUCAGGAGGAGGAUCAGGCAAAGGGAAAGACCUGCCUAAGAAGGAGGUUUCUCAAAAAGCCUAAAUACCUAUUAUAUCCAUUCUCUUUGGAAAAGGUAGUUUUCUAAUGCAGUUGAAAGGAUCAGUCUGGCAUUCAUAGGUAGCCUUUAUUAAAUACAUUGAUGCCCUCCAUGUCCCUUGCUUCCUCUCCACACAGUUCCUCUUUCAUUUUCUAAUAAACUGUUG